AACCUUAUGGACCUGCGGGCGUAUACCUGCGGAAGGAUCAUUACUGAGUGUUUAACUUCCCUUUUUUAAGGAGGUUACCUCCCGUCCUUUGCAGGCCCAUUUAACUUUUUAAAGGGGCUUUUUAAACUUUGCUUCGGCGGGGUUACCCCGCCGGAACACCCUCAAAAAAAAUUCUGAUUUUAAAAACCGUUCAGUCUGAGGAAUAUUUAUUAAAAAAAAAACUUUCAGCAACGGAUCUCA
rnacentral:misc_RNA from 1 species